UUCAGCGGCGGACGGGUGAGUAAUGCCUAGGAAUCUGCCCGAUAGUGGGGGACAACGUUUCGAAAGGAACGCUAAUACCGCAUACGUCCUACGGGAGAAAGCAGGGGACCUUCGGGCCUUGCGCUAUCGGAUGAGCCUAGGUCGGAUUAGCUAGUUGGUGGGGUAAAGGCUCACCAAGGCGACGAUCCGUAACUGGUCUGAGAGGAUGAUCAGUCACACUGGAACUGAGACACGGUCCAGACACCUACGGGAGGCAGCAGUGGGGAAUAUUGGACAAUGGGCGAAAGCCUGAUCCAGCCAUGCCGCGUGUGUGAAGAAGGUCUUCGGAUUGUAAAGCACUUUAAGCUGGGAGGAAGGGCAGUAAGCUAAUACCUUGCUGUUUUGACGUUACCAGCAGAAUAAGCACCGGCUAACUUCGUGCCAGCAGCCGCGGUAAUACGAAGGGUGCAAGCGUUAAUCGGAAUUACUGGGCGUAAAGCGCGCGUAGGUGGUUCAGCAAGUUGGAUGUGAAAGCCCCGGGCUCAACCUGGGAACUGCAUCCAAAACUACUGGGCUAGAGUAUGGUAGAGGGUGGUGGAAUUUCCUGUGUAGCGGUGAAAUGCGUAGAUAUAGGAAGGAACACCAGUGGCGAAGGCGACCACCUGGACUAAUACUGACACUGAGGUGCGAAAGCGUGGGGAGCAAACAGGAUUAGAUACCCUGGUAGUCCACGCCGUAAACGAUGUCAACUAGUUGUUGGGUUCCUUGAGGACUUAGUAACGAAGCUAACGCGAUAAGUUGACCGCCUGGGGAGUACGGCCGCAAGGUUAAAACUCAAAUGAAUUGACGGGGGCCCGCACAAGCGGUGGAGCAUGUGGUUUAAUUC
rnacentral:rRNA from 1 species